UGUCUGACCCUGCGCCGUAUGCUGGGCCGCUGGCGGCGCGCUGCGGAGGACGGCCGUCGUCUCCGGGCCGAGCAGCGUCUGUUCCCUGCUGGCCGGCCGCUGCACGACGCAGCGACCGCACUGCGCCUGCUGGGCGGACCGAGGGAGCCGCCGCACCCGCCUGCCGACCUCUGGGCAGACGGCAGUCUGUGCAGUCUGCUGCUGCACGACCGGCUCUCCAGUCAGCCGGUGAGCGUGGCUGCUGUACUUUCCCGCUCUGGCCGUGCAGCCACCCCCCUCCGGCGGCCACCUGCUCUGGAAACUGGCCGUGCCCGCGCCGGCCGGCUGUCCGCUCACACAGUGGCUGCUAGGGAAACUGGAUACUGAUGGAGGACGAACGGUGGAGCUGCCUGAUGGUGUCCUGCAGCGGGAGUCUGUGCCGCUCCCGGGCGGCGGCCGGCUCUCGAUCUGUGUCCGGCAGCUGGAGGGACGGCCGGCAGAGGCGGUCGGCGCCGCCGGACUCCUGCUGGCCUACUCGGGGCCCGAGUCGGCCGGCCGGCUGCACCAGCUGCUGGCCCAGCUGCCGCGCGAGCCGCUGCUGCCGCUGGCCGUGCUGGUGGAGGCGGGAGGUCAGCGGGCGGCGCUGGCGCAGCUGCGGCUGCCCGAGCGGCUGGCGGCCGGCGCCGUCACCACCUAUCGGCUCUUCGAGCUGCUGCCC